AAACUCACCAGGUCAGGACACGGUAAGGAUUGACGGACUGAAGGCUCUUUUCUCGAUUCCGUGGAAAGUGGUGCAUGGCCGUUUUUGGUUGGUGGAUCGAUCCGUCUGGUUAAUUCCGUUAACGAACGAGACCUCGGCACUCCGAAUAGCGCGGCGGACGUCGCGGCCUCCGGGCCGUCUUCCGCACGAGCUUCUUAGAGGGACCGUCCCCCGCCGGGGAAGGAGGCGCGAGGCAACGACAGGUCUGUGAUGCCCUUAGAUGUUCUGGGCCGCACGCGCAUUACACUGACGCGUCCAACGGGUGACUCCCGACCCGAAGGGGCCGGGGAAUCCGCAAGGCGCGUCGUGAUGGGGAUUGAACGUUGCAAUUGUUGUUCACGAACGAGGAAUUCCUAGUAGGCGCGGGUCAUCAACCCGCGCCGAUUACGUCCCUG
rnacentral:rRNA from 1 species